GGGUACGUUACAUAUAAGGAUCGGAAGAAGAACAGCAGAACAGGGAGAAAAGAGAAGAGAUGAGAAUUUUCCGAAGCUGAGACUUUUCCCAGAUGAUUGAGAAGCUAAUGUAGUGUUAGGUUUGGUCAAAUGGACUGACUUGGACUACGUCUAGUUUGGUUUUGUUUAUGGAAAUUUGGUGGAAGAGAAAGGCAUCAGAUGUUCGUUUUUUCUCUCUAGACGGCAAUACGGCUUUAUAUAACUUCUUUGCUGUUACGACUGUUGAUUGAGCUCGAGGUGUACGCCUGCAGAAAUGUGUCAAUGAAGAACACUGACGUGUGCAGGUACGUUUGUGCAAGUAAUUUAUUCAAUUAUUUGCUGUGUACAUCUAUCGAUCUGGUAUAGCCUAGCCACAAGGCAUAAGGCAUAAGUGACAGUCCUGGAGAACUGAUUUCCCAUCCAGCUCCUUAAAUUUCGGUUAACAUUGAGUGACUUUAAUCUUGUGUCAAAAAUGUGCCAUCGAAGGCCACCGUUGUAUUUAUAAC
rnacentral:lncRNA from 1 species